rnacentral:rRNA from 1 species
GACGAACGCUGGCGGCGUGCUUAACACAUGCAAGUCGAACGAUGAAGCCUAGCUUGCUGGGUGGAUUAGUGGCGAACGGGUGAGUAACACGUGAGUAACCUGCCCCUUACUCUGGGAUAAGCGCUGGAAACGGCGUCUAAUACUGGAUAUUACCUUUCAUCGCAUGGUGUUUGGUGGAAAGAUUUUUCGGUUUGGGAUUGACUCGCGGCCUAUCAGCUUGAUGGUGAGGUAGUGGCUCACCAUGGCGACGACGGGUAGCCGGCCUGAGAGGGUGACCGGCCACACUGGGACUGAGACACGGCCCAGACUCCUACGGGAGGCAGCAGUGGGGAAUAUUGCACAAUGGGCGCAAGCCUGAUGCAGCAACGCCGCGUGAGGGAUGACGGCCUUCGGGUUGUAAACCUCUUUUAGUAGGGAAGAAGCGUAAGUGACUGUACCUACAGAAAAAGCACCGGCUAACUACGUG